CUGACUGUAGCCAUAUGACUCAAAAGUGCUCAAAGAAAUCCAAUGACAGAUCAACCAGUGAGAUUUGAUCCCUCCAUGGAAAAGUAAAAAGACCUUCCUAAAAGCUUCUAUCGAGUUGUAGAAGUUGGAUCC
rnacentral:lncRNA from 1 species